UUUCAUUCUGUCGCCUACUGUCACGGUGUUAACCUCCCUCUCUGUCUCUCUGAGUGCGUUCUCUCGCCCGUCACCCCUCUUCCUUUCUCGGUCUCCUCCUCUCCCUUCGUCCGAGCCGCUCCUUAGCGCCCAGUUGCGCAAAUCAAAUUCUUUCCCGUUCUAUUUACUCCUGAUCAAGAGGGGCUGUCAGUCCAACCCUCCAGCUGUAGGCUCGUGCAUCUGCCAGUCUCUUGGCGCGUGGGGACCGCGUGGAAGUGCCUUCGCGUGUGCGUGCCAGCUGAGAUGAGACGUGGAAGCUGGAGGGGUCCGGCAUCCCAGAGAGGCGUGAGGCUCCCAAACCACCACCUGCUCAGGUCCACCCUAAUAACAUCAGCCAAGGCCUCUACAGCAGCCCCCAAGCUGCCUCUGGAUAGUUCAGACAAGGCCUCUGUGCUGUGAUGGAACCAGGUGACCCGCAGCCUCCGGGCCAGGGAGAGAAGACAGAUUUCCCUCAUGCAGGAAGACGUCUGACUCUGUGGCAAGCAGCUCUAUGUUGCAAUCUCCCUGUGAAAUCGCCUCAUAAGAAGAGUUAAAAGGAGGAACUAAAGGAGGCUGUGGAGAGAGACAUGUGCCCUAUAACA
rnacentral:lncRNA from 1 species